CCUCUUCUCUCCCUCCUCCCGCCUCCUUCCUUUGGGGGGGGGAAGGCGGGGCCAGAGGCCUGAAGUGUGGGGAGAACUUGGGUUCUGCUCUGCUAUAUGAAAUAUGGGAGACGACAGACCGUUUGUGUGCAAUGCCCCGGGCUGUGGACAGAGAUUUACAAACGAGGACCACCUGGCAGUUCAUAAACACAAGCAUGAGAUGACAUUGAAAUUUGGCCCAGCCCGAACUGACUCAGUCAUCAUUGCAGAUCAAACUCCUACUCCGACUAGAUUCCUGAAGAACUGUGAAGAGGUGGGGCUCUUCAAUGAACUAGCUAGCUCCUUUGAACAUGAAUUCAAGAAAGCUGCAGAUGAGGAUGAAAAAAAGGCUGCUUCUGGGCCCCUUGACAUGUCUCUGCCUUCUACACCAGACAUCAAAAUCAAAGAAGAAGAGCCAGUGGAGGUAGACUCAUCCCCACCUGACAGUCCUGCCUCUAGCCCCUGCUCCCCACCACUAAAGGAAAAGGAUGUUGCCGCAAAGCCUGUUGUGAUCUCUACCCCCACACCUACCAUCGUACGCCCGGGCUCUCUGCCUCUCCACUUGGGCUAUGAUCCACUUCACCCAACCCUUCCAUCCCCAACCUCCGUCAUCACACAGGCUCCACCAUCCAACAGGCAACUGGGGUCUCCCACUGGCUCCCUCCCUCUCGUCAUGCAUCUUGCUAACGGACAGACCAUGCCUGUGCUGCCAGGGCCUCCGGUACAGAUGCCUUCUGUUAUAUCGCUGGCGAGACCUGUGUCUAUGGUGCCCAACAUUCCUGGUAUCCCUGGCCCACCAGUUAACAGCAGUGGUUCCAUUUCUCCCUCUGGCCACCCUGUGCCAUCAGAAGCCAAGAUGAGACUAAAAGCUACACUAACCCACCAAGUCUCCUCAAUCAAUGGUGGUUGUGGAAUGGUAGUGGGGACUGCCAGCACCAUGGUGACAGCCCGUCCAGAGCAAAGUCAGAUCCUCAUCCAGCACCCUGACGCCCCAUCCCCUGCCCAGCCACAGGUUUCACCAGCUCAACCCACUCCUAGUACUGGAGGGCGACGUCGGCGCACAGUGGAUGAAGAUCCAGAUGAGCGGCGGCAACGCUUUCUGGAGCGCAACCGGGCUGCAGCCUCCCGCUGCCGUCAAAAGCGGAAGCUGUGGGUGUCCUCCCUAGAGAAGAAGGCUGAGGAACUCACUUCUCAGAACAUUCAGCUGAGUAAUGAAGUCACGUUACUACGCAAUGAGGUGGCUCAAUUGAAACAGCUACUGUUAGCUCAUAAAGACUGCCCGGUCACAGCACUACAGAAGAAGACCCAAGGCUAUUUAGAGAUGUGUUCCCAUAGAAAAAGAAUAACCACAUCACCAAUUUUAAACAUCUCUAUUUAAAUUUUAAUUUUAAUUUUACUGUGUACUUCAGGGUACAUUCAUUCAUGAAGCAGAUAUUGACUGAGCCUGUUCUGUGCCAGGCACUGUUUUACAUGCUGAGGACAUAAUAGGGAACCAAAUAGAUUAAAGUCCCUGCCCGUGAGGGGCUUAUAUUUUAGUAGGUGAGACAGACAGUAAACUAGAUAAAAAGCUAUAAUAUAUAGUAUGUUAGAUAAGAGUAAAUGCUUGGAAGAAAAAAAUAAAAUAGGAAAGAGGAAUAUGAAAUAUUAGCAGCAGGGUUGAAGUUUUAGUUGAGGUGUCUUUUGACUGAAGACCUUAAGGAAGUGAGGGAGCUAGCCAUGCAUUAAUAUGGGAGAAAAGUACUGCAAGCGGGAGGAACAGCAAAUGCAAAGAGCCAAAGUGGGAGCAUGUCUGGCACAUUCUAGGAACACCAAGGAGGCUAGUGUGGCUGGAUUGGAGAGAAUGGGGAAUUGCGAGGAUUUGGAGGUGAGGUAGGGGAGGUAAUGGGAACAUUUUCCUUUAGGGCCUUGUUGGUCAUAGUGAGGGCCUCAGCUUUAACUCUGCUUUGGGGAUCAUUAAAGGAUAUUCGACAGAAUAGUUACAUAACUGAUCUGACUUUCUUUGAACAGGACCACUGUGUUAGAGAGUGAGGAAUGCAUGGGCAGAAGCAGACAGCCCACUUAGAGGGCUAUCGCAGUCAUAUGAGCAAGAGAUGAUGGAGCUUGGACCGGAUGGUAGUAGCAAAAGUAGCGAGAAUGGAUUUAAUUCAGGAUAUAUUUUGAAGUGACAAGGUUUGAUGACGGCCAGAUGGGGCAGUAUAUGUGAGGAAAAGGAAGAAUCAAAAAUUGUACCAAAGGUUUUGGCCUGAGCAGCUGCAGGAACAGAGUUGCCAUUGAUUGAGAGAGGGGAAAGUACAGGAAGAAAUGGAUUGGGUGGUAUAUCAGGAGCUCAGAUUUGGAAGCCUCUUAGGCUUGCAGGUGGGGCUGUCGAGCAGGCAGCUGGUCGUGUGGAUCUGCAGUUCAGAGGAAAGGCUGAAGGUACAGCUUUGGGAGUCAGCAGAAUAUGGAUAGUUUUUCAAGCCAUGAAACCAGAUGAAAUGUUAUUGUCAAGAGAGAGCACAUAGGUAGAAAAAGAGAAGUUCCAGGACUGAGCCCUGGGUACUCCAGCAUUUAGAGGUCAGAGAGAUGAGAAGGGACCCCCACAAGAGAGACAGAAUGAGGAGGCAAGCAGGUAGGAGGAAAACCAGCUGAGUAGCUGACUGUGGUGUCCUGUAAGCCACGAUAAGAAAGUGUUUGAAGUUUAGUGAUCAACUAUUUCAAAUCCUUUUGAUGGGCUAAGGAGGACAAGGACUGAGUAUUUAUCAGUAUGAAGUCUACAUACAGUACGGUUUCUAUUCAGUCCCUAGAAGAACUCUGACAGGUAGUCCAUCUUUGAAAUUACUUAUUUGUUACAGCAAAGAUGUAUUUAGUUCCUAUCGUGUGGUGUGGACAUUGUGGUAGGUACCUGACACAAGACAAACCAGAGGCUCUCCUAUCUCUGAGAGACUCAUAGGGAUAGGGUUGUGAAGAGAUAAACAUUUCAUCCUGUGGGUUAGGUAAGCACAGAUAUCCCAAAGAGCCCCUAGACUAGGAACUUCCUGAGGACAGGGAGGCUGUUUAUUAUUAUUAUCAUUAUUACUUUAAAUAAUGACUAGAGGUUUUAAAAAAAAAAGAAAUUAUUUAUUUAUUUUGGCUACAUCAGGUCUUAGUUGCAGCAUGCGGGCUCUUCGUUGCGGCACCUGGGCUUCUCUCUAGUUGUGGCGUGUGGGCUCAGUAGUUGCAGCGCUCUAGCUUAGCUGCCCCGUGGCAUGUGGGAUCUUAGUUUCCUGACCAGGGAUCCAACCCCUGUCCCCUGCAUUGGAAGGCAGAUUCUUAACCACUGGACCCCCAGGGAAGUCCCACCUGUUUAUUUUUAUAUACCCCAGUGUCUGGCACACAGGCACUACUCAGUAAAUAUUUAAUGAAUAAAUGAAUGUAUGCUCUGGAAGCACAGUGAAGUAGGUAAUUUCCUGAGCGUAGCAAAGAAGGCUUCACACAGGAGAUAAUUGAAUCCUGAAAGAAGACUCAGGCAUUUUUCAGGAGGUCAAAAAUACAAGGAAAGCCCCAAGGAAAGCUCAGAGCCAACGGGUUCACCAGCCCCUGUGAUUCAGCACAGCUCAGCAACAGCCCCGAGCAAUGGCCUCAGCGUUCGCUCUGCAGCUGAAGCUGUGGCCACCU